rnacentral:misc_RNA from 1 species
ACACCUCAACUCUUUAUGGUUUUCCAUGAUGAGCUUGGACUUUGGGGGUUUUGCUGGCCUAUGGUUGGCUCCUCUAAAAUAAAUCAGCUUACCAGUGUUUGGUGGGUAUCAUGGGUGUGAUAACUAUCUACGCUUGCGGUUCCUCCACCAGGUAACCUUCGACAGCGGAGGUUCACUGGAGCUCAUAGAUGUCUCUCCUUAGUGAGGACAGCCCUUUGAAU